CCUACGGGUGGCAGCAGUGAGGAAUAUUGGUCAAUGGACGCAAGUCUGAACCAGCCAAGUAGCGUGCAGGAUGACGGCCCUCCGGGUUGUAAACUGCUUUUAGUUGGGAAUAAAAGGGGGCUCGUGAGCCCCGUAUUGUAUGUACCAUCAGAAAAAGGACCGGCUAAUUCCGUGCCAGCAGCCGCGGUAAUACGGAGGGUGCAAGCGUUGUCCGGAAUCAUUGGGCGUAAAGAGUUCGUAGGUGGCAUAUUAAGUCUGGUGUUAAAUGCAGAAGCUCAACUUCUGUUCGGCACUGGAUACUGGUAAGCUUGAAUGCGGUAGAGGUAAAGGGAAUUCCUGGUGUAGCGGUGAAAUGCGUAGAUAUCAGGAGGAACAUCGGUGGCGUAAGCGCUUUACUGGGCCGUAAUUGACACUGAGGAACGAAAGCCGGGGUAGCAAAUGGGAUUAGAUACCCGAGUAGUC
rnacentral:rRNA from 1 species